rnacentral:rRNA from 1 species
CCUACGGGUGGCAGCAGUGGGGAAUAUUGCACAAUGGGCGCAAGCCUGAUGCAGCCAUGCCGCGUGUGUGAAGAAGGCCUUCGGGUUGUAAAGCACUUUCAGCGGGGAGGAAGGCGGUGAGGUUAAUAACCUCAUCGAUUGACGUUACCCGCAGAAGAAGCACCGGCUAACUCCGUGCCAGCAGCCGCGGUAAUACGGAGGGUGCAAGCGUUAAUCGGAAUUACUGGGCGUAAAGCGCACGCAGGCGGUCUGUCAAGUCGGAUGUGAAAUCCCCGGGCUCAACCUGGGAACUGCAUUCGAAACUGGCAGCCUAGAGUCUUGUAGAGGGGGGUAGAAUUCCAGGUGUAGCGGGGAAAUACGUAGAGAUCUGGAGGAAUACCGGUGGCGAAGGCGGCCCCCUGGACAAAGACUGACGCUCAGGUGCGAAAGCGUGGGGAGCAAACAGGAUUAGAUACCGAGUAGUC